UUGCCUACGGGAGGCAGCAGUGGGGGAUAUUGCACAAUGGGGGAAACCCUGAUGCAGCGACGCCGCGUGUGGGAAGACGGUCCUCUGGAUUGUAAACCACUGUCCCCAGGGACGAAGAUGACGGUACCUGGGGAGGAAGCUCCGGCUAACUACGUGCCAGCAGCCGCGGUAAUACGUAGGGAGCGAGCGUUAUCCGGAUUUAUUGGGUUUAAAGGGUGCGUAGGCGGGCUUUUAAGUCAGCGGUAAAAAUUCGGGGCUCAACCCCGUCCGGCCGUUGAAAAUGGGGGCCUUGAGGGGGCG
rnacentral:rRNA from 1 species